CAGCAGUAGCCGCGGUAAUACGAAGGGGGCUAGCGUUGUUCGGAUUUACUGGGCGUAAAGGGCGCGUAGGCGGAUUUGUAAGUCAGGGGUGAAAUCCCGAGGCUCAACCUCGGAACUGCCUUUGAUACUGUGGAUCUUGAGUCCGGGAGAGGUGAGUGGAACUGCGAGUGUAGAGGUGAAAUUCGUAGAUAUUCGCAAGAACACCAGUGGCGAAGGCGGCUCACUGGCCCGGAACUGACGCUGAGGCGCGAAAGCGUGGGGAGCAAACAGGAUUAGAUACCCGCGUAGUCCCUGUCUCUUAUAC
rnacentral:rRNA from 1 species